CAAUUACUCCCUCUGACCCAUAUUACUUGUCUCAAAUUUGCCCAAAUAUGGAUGUAUCUAUGUUUAAAAAGCGUCUAGAUACAUUUAAUAUUUUGACAAGUAAUUCCGACCGGAGGGAGUACUAA
rfam:Brachypodium distachyon strain Bd21 chromosome 5, whole genome shotgun sequence.